CCUACGGGCGGCAGCAGUCGAGAAUCAUUCACAAUGGGGGAAACCCUGAUGGUGCGACGCCGCGUGGGGGAAUGAAGGUCUUCGGAUUGUAAACCCCUGUCAUGUGGGAGCAAAUUAAAAAGAUAGUACCACAAGAGGAAGAGCAGGCUAACUCUGUGCCAGCAGCCGCGGUAAUACAGAGGUCUCAAGCGUUGUUCGGAAUCAAUGGGCGUAAAGCGUGCGUAGGCUGUUUCGUAAGUCGUGUGUGAAAGGCGCGGGCUCAACCCGCGGACGGCACAUGAUACUGCGAGACUAGAGUAAUGGAGGGGGAACCGGAAUUCUCGGUGUAGCAGUGAAAUGCGUAGAUAUCGAGAGGAACACUCGUGGCGAAGGCGGGUUCCUGGACAUUAACUGACGCUGAGGCACGAAGGCCAGGGGAGCGAAAAGGAUUAGAUACCCCAGUAGUC
rnacentral:rRNA from 1 species